CCUACGGGAGGCAGCAGUAGGGAAUAUUGCUCAAUGGGGGAAACCCUGAAGCAGCCACGCCGCGUGGAGGAUGAAGGUUUUCGGAUUGUAAACUCCUUUUGUUAGGGAAGAUAAUGACGGUAUCUAACGAAUAAGCACCGGCUAACUCCGUGCCAGCAGCCGCGGGAAUACGGCGGGUGCAAGCGUUACUCGGAAUCACUGGGCGUAAAGAGCGCGUAGGCGGGAUAGCAAGUCAGAUGUGAAAUCCUAUGGCUUAACCAUAGAACUGCAUUUGAAACUGUUAUUCUAGAGUAUGGGAGAGGUAGGUGGAAUGCUUGGUGUAGGGGUAAAAUGCGUAGAGAUCAAGAGGAAGACUCAUUGCGAAGGCGGCCUGCGAGAACAUAACUGACGCUGAGGCGCGAAAGCGUGGGGAGCAAACAGGAUUAGAUACCCUUGUAGUC
rnacentral:rRNA from 1 species